rnacentral:rRNA from 1 species
GACGAACGCUGGCGGCGUGCUUAACACAUGCAAGUCGAACGGAAAGGCCCUGCUUUUGUGGGGUGCUCGAGUGGCGAACGGGUGAGUAACACGUGAGUAACCUGCCCUUGACUUUGGGAUAACUUCAGGAAACUGGGGCUAAUACCGGAUAGGAGCUCCUGCUGCAUGGUGGGGGUUGGAAAGUUUCGGCGGUUGGGGAUGGACUCGCGGCUUAUCAGCUUGUUGGUGGGGUAGUGGCUUACCAAGGCUUUGACGGGUAGCCGGCCUGAGAGGGUGACCGGCCACAUUGGGACUGAGAUACGGCCCAGACUCCUACGGGAGGCAGCAGUGGGGAAUAUUGCACAAUGGGCGGAAGCCUGAUGCAGCAACGCCGCGUGCGGGAUGACGGCCUUCGGGUUGUAAACCGCUUUCGCCUGUGACGAAGCGUGAGUGACGGUAAUGGGUAAAGAAGCACCGGCUAACUACGUGCCAGCAGCCGCGGUGAUACGUAGGGUGCGAGCGUUGUCCGGAUUUAUUGGGCGUAAAGGGCUCGUAGGUGGUUGAUCGCGUCGGAAGUGUAAUCUUGGGGCUUAACCCUGAGCGUGCUUUCGAUACGGGUUGACUUGAGGAAGGUAGGGGAGAAUGGAAUUCCUGGUGGAGCGGUGGAAUGCGCAGAUAUCAGGAGGAACACCAGUGGCGAAGGCGGUUCUCUGGGCCUUUCCUGACGCUGAGGAGCGAAAGCGUGGGGAGCGAACAGGCUUAGAUACCCUGGUAGUCCACGCUGUAAACGGUGGGUACUAGGUGUGGGGUCCAUUCCACGGGUUCCGUGCCGUAGCUAACGCUUUAAGUACCCCGCCUGGGGAGUACGGCCGCAAGGCUAAAACUCAAAGGAAUUGACGGGGCCCCGCACAAGCGGCGGAGCAUGCGGAUUAAUUCGAUGCAACGCGUAGAACCUUACCUGGGUUUGACAUGGAUCGGGAGUGCUCAGAGAUGGGUGUGCCUCUUUUGGGGUCGGUUCACAGGUGGUGCAUGGCUGUCGUCAGCUCGUGUCGUGAGAUGUUGGGUUAAGUCCCGCAACGAGCGCAACCCUUGUUCACUGUUGCCAGCACGUUAUGGUGGGGACUCAGUGGAGACCGCCGGGGUCAACUCGGAGGAAGGUGGGGAUGACGUCAAGUCAUCAUGCCCCUUAUGUCCAGGGCUUCACGCAUGCUACAAUGGCUGGUACAGAGAGUGGCGAGCCUGUGAGGGUGAGCGAAUCUCGGAAAGCCGGUCUCAGUUCGGAUUGGGGUCUGCAACUCGACCUCAUGAAGUCAGAGUCGCUAGUAAUCGCAGAUCAGCAACGCUGCGGUGAAUAAAUUCCCGGGGCU